UACGGAGGAUCCGAGCGUUAUCCGGAUUUAUUGGGCUUAAAGGGAGCGUAGGCGGGUUGUUAAGUCAGUUGUGAAAGUUUGCGGCUCAACCGUAAAAUUGCAGUUGAUACUGGCAUCCUUGAGUACAGUAGAGGUGGGCGGAAUUCGUGGUGUAGCGGUGAAAUGCUUAGAUAUCACGAAGAACUCCGAUUGCGAAGGCAGCCUGCUGGACUGUAACUGACGCUGAUGCUCGAAAGUGUGGGUAUCAAACAGG
rnacentral:rRNA from 1 species